GAUGAACGCUGGCGGCGUGCCUAAUACAUGCAAGUCGAGCGAACAGAUGAGGAGCUUGCUCCUCUGACGUUAGCGGCGGACGGGUGAGUAACACGUGGAUAACCUACCUAUAAGACUGGGAUAACUUCGGGAAACCGGAGCUAAUACCGGAUAAUAUAUUGAACCGCAUGGUUCAAUAGUGAAAGACGGUUUUGCUGUCACUUAUAGAUGGAUCCGCGCCGCAUUAGCUAGUUGGUAAGGUAAAGGCUUACCAAGGCAACGAUGCGUAGCCGACCUGAGAGGGUGAUCGGCCACACUGGAACUGAGACACGGUCCAGACUCCUACGGUAGGCAGCAGUAGGGAAUCUUCCGCGAUGGGCGAAAGCCGGACGGAGCAACGCCGCGUGAGUGAUGAAGGUCUUCGGAUCGUAAAACUCUGUAAUUAGGGAAGAACAAAUGUGUAAGUAACUAUGCACGUCUUGACGGUACCUAAUCAGAAAGCCACGGCUAACUACGUG
rnacentral:rRNA from 1 species